UCCGGUUUGUCACCGGCAGUCGAUUUAGAGUGCCCACCUUGAUGUGCUGGCAACUAAACCUAAGGGUUGCGCUCGUUGCGGGACUUAACCCAACAUCUCACGACACGAGCUGACGACAACCAUGCACCACCUGUCUCCUCUGUCCCGAAGGCCUACUUUAUCUCUAAAGUAUUCAUAGGGAUGUCAAGACCUGGUAAGGUUCUUCGCGUUGCUUCGAAUUAAACCACAUGCUCCACUGCUUGUGCGGGUCCCCGUCAAUUCCUUUGAGUUUCAGUCUUGCGACCGUACUCCCCAGGCGGAAUGCUUAAUGUGUUAACUUCGGCACUAAGGGCAUCGAAACCCCUAACACCUAGCAUUCAUCGUUUACGGCGUGGACUAC
rnacentral:misc_RNA from 1 species